AGAACGAACGCUGGCGGCAUGCCUAACACAUGCAAGUCGAACGCUUUUGGGGCUUCGGUCCCAAAGGAGUGGCGCACGGGUGAGUAGCGCGUGGGAACCUGCCCUGUUGUGGGGGAUAACCGAGGGAAACUUCGGCUAAUACCGCAUACGCCCGGGGGAAACUCCGGGGAAAGAUUUAUCGCAGCAGGAGGGGCCCGCGUCGGAUUAGGUAGUUGGUGGGGUAACGGCCCACCAAGCCUGUGAUCCGUAGCUGGUCUGAGAGGAUGAUCAGCCACACUGGGACUGAGACACGGCCCAGACUCCUACGGGAGGCAGCAGUGGGGAAUAUUGGACAAUGGGCGCAAGCCUGAUCCAGCCAUGCCGCGUGAGUGAUGACGGCCUUAGGGUUGUAAAGCUCUUUCGCUCGGGACGAUAAUGACGGUACCGAGAUAAGAAGCCCCGGCUAACUUCGUGCCAGCAGCCGC
rnacentral:rRNA from 1 species